rnacentral:rRNA from 1 species
UACGUAGGGGGCAAGCGUUGUCCGGAAUCAUUGGGCGUAAAGAGCGUGUAGGCGGCCCGAUAAGUCCGCUCUGAAAGUCCAGGGCUCAACCCUGGAAAGCGGGUGGAUACUGCCGGGCUAGAAUCCGGAAGAGGCGAGUGGAAUUCCUGGUGUAGCGGUGGAAUGCGCAGAUAUCAGGAGGAACACCGGUGGCGAAGGCGGGUCUCUGGGCCGAUACUGACACUGAGAAGCGAAAGCGUGGGGAGCGAACAGG